rnacentral:rRNA from 1 species
GACGAACGCUGGCGGCGUGCUUAACACAUGCAAGUCGAACGGAAAGGCCCUGCUUUUGUGGGGAGCUCGAGUGGCGAACGGGUGAGUAACACGUGAGUAACCUGCCCUUGACUUUGGGAUAACUUCAGGAAACUGGGGCUAAUACCGGAUAGGAGCUCCUGCUGCAUGGUGGGGGUUGGAAAGUUUCGGCGGUUGGGGAUGGACUCGCGGCUUAUCAGCUUGUUGGUGGGGUAGUGGCUUACCAAGGCUUUGACGGGUAGCCGGCCUGAGAGGGCGACCGGCCACAUUGGGACUGAGAUACGGCCCAGACUCCUACGGGAGGCAGCAGUGGGGAAUAUUGCACAGUGGGCGGAAGCCUGAUGCAGCAACGCCGCGUGCGGGAUGACGGCCUUCGGGUUGUAAACCGCUUUCGCCUGUGACGAAGCGUGAGUGACGGUAAUGGGUAAAGAAGCACCGGCUAACUACGUG